AUUGAACGCUGGCGGCAUGCUUUACACAUGCAAGUCGAACGGUAACAGGCCGCAAGGUGCUGACGAGUGGCGAACGGGUGAGUAAUGCAUCGGAACGUGCCCAGUCGUGGGGGAUAACGCAGCGAAAGCUGCGCUAAUACCGCAUACGAUCUCUGGAUGAAAGCGGGGGACCGAAAGGCCUCGCGCGAUUGGAGCGGCCGAUGUCAGAUUAGGUAGUUGGUGGGGUAAAGGCUCACCAAGCCAACGAUCUGUAGCUGGUCUGAGGACGACCAGCCACACUGGGACUGAGACACGGCCCAGACUCCUACGGGAGGCAGCAGUGGGGAAUUUUGGACAAUGGGCGCAAGCCUGAUCCAGCAAUGCCGCGUGCAGGAAGAAGGCCUUCGGGUUGUAAACUGCUUUUGUACGGAACGAAACGGUCCUGGUUAAUACCUGGGGCUAAUGACGGUACCGUAAGAAUAAGCACCGGCUAACUACGUGCCAGCCGCCGCCGUAAGAC
rnacentral:rRNA from 1 species